rnacentral:tRNA from 1 species
GGUUGUGGCUCAGUGGCAGAGCACUUGCCUCGCACAUGUGAGGCACUGGGUUCAAUCCUCAGCACCA